AUUGAACGCUGGCGGCAGGCUUAACACAUGCAAGUCGAGCGAGCGGCGGACGGGUGAGUAAUGUCUGGGAAACUGCCUGAUGGAGGGGGAUAACUACUGGAAACGGUAGCUAAUACCGCAUACCAUCAGAUUUGCCCAGCUGGGAUUAGCUAGUAGGUGGGGUAAUGGCUCACCUAGGCGACGAUCCCUAGCUGGUCUGAGGGGAUGACCGGCAAAACUGGAACGGAGACACGGUCCAGACUCCUACGGUAGGCAGCAGUGGGGAAUAUUGCACAAUGGGCGGAAGACUGAUGCAGCAAUGAAGCGUGUGUGAAGAAGGCCUUCGGGUUGUAAAGCACUUUCAGAGAGGAGGCGUUACUCGCAGAAGAAGCACCGGCUAACUCCGUGCCAGCAGCCGCGGUAAUAC
rnacentral:rRNA from 1 species